UACGUAGGAGGCAAGCGUUGUCCGGAAUUACUGGGCGUAAAGCGCGUGUAGGUGGUGGGACAAGUCUGCUGUGAAAGCGCCUGGCUUAACCGGGCGAGGUCGGCGGAAACUGUCCGACUCGAGGACGGUAGAGGGGGGUGGAAUUCCCGGUGUAGUGGUGAAAUGCGUAGAGAUCGGGAGGAACACCUGUGGCGAAGGCGGCCCCCUGGGCCGGCCCUGACGCUGAGGCGCGAAGGCGUGGGGAGCGAACGGG
rnacentral:rRNA from 1 species